rnacentral:lncRNA from 1 species
AUUUUAUAAAAAACAAUAUUCCAAGAUCAUUUCUAUUCUCUUUCUAAUUGUGCCCCUACCCAUCACUUCAACAAGCUACAUAAUUAAAAGACUAAGAAAAGAUGUUUCUGAAGGUGUCACUUUUUGAUGUCCCACGUAGGCCAGAGACAGACACCUUAGACAUCUUGGCGCCCAAGGACAUUCUUUAGGUGUAGAGGACAACUGUAGUGUUCUCUUCUUAACACUCCUCUAUUCUCCUGGGAGCAACACUUCUCUUCCUUUGGGAAUCCACCUUCCUUUCCUUUUAAGCCCAUAUUUUCAGAGGGAGGUCUUAAUCACAAUAGUCCUCUCAUCUGGCCACAAGAGCGGCACAUGACCUAUGAAGAUCUGCACCAGGUCUUCUUGGGAUCAAGGAAAAUGGUGCUUAAAAGAAAAAAGCCCUCUCUUCUCUGCUGGUGAAGGCACAAGACAAUCUCCUGUAGAAGAAAGUGAAGGCGAAUGAAGAGACAAAAUAAGAUCUGCAUGGUUCCUGGCUGAUGUAACACAGGCACAAAGACAGCAUCUUGCCUCUCCUCACAGAGUGCCUUGUCACUUCGCUUCCAUAUUCCCAUCACCACACAGUGGAACCACAGCAGCAGUGAAAGGGACAAAAUCUGUGUGCUGGACACUGUGCUGGAUUGUGGGGGUACAACGAUGAACAAGACUGAUGUGGCCCUGCCCGAAUGGAGGGCACAUUCUAAUGGGGAAGAUAGACAGAGACGGAAAAAAACGUAAGUAAAACACAGUAUUGGCUUGUAAUAACUGCCAAGAAGGAAACAAAGAAGGUGCUGGCAGAGGAAAUAACGGGGACCAUGUGAUCUACUCUAAAGUGGGUGGCCAGGAGAAACUCUGAGAAUAUGAUUUACCCUGAUUCACGGUAGUUGAGAAUGAGCUAGCCAUGCGCUAGCUGGUGAGGAGGCGUUCCAGACAGAAGGACAGGAAGUGACCAAGUCAAGACAAGAAUGACUACUGAAGUGUAUGGACUCGUGUGGACAAAUUAGGCAUUUUCUCAUUAUGAUUGCAUUGGUUCCUGUUUUAGAGUAGUAUUCUGUUAGUUUUUUAUUUAGGUAGGCCAGUCGUUGUCAUUCUUGGAAGCACAUUAAAAUCAGCUGGAAAGGUUUUUUUAAAAAAUACAUGUGCCUGAGCUCCAAUCCCAGGGAGUCUGAUUUAAUUGGUCUGGGGUGGGGCCCAGACAUCAGUAUUUUUCUUAAAACUCUACAACUGAUUGAAGUGUGUGGACAAAGUUGAGGACCUCUGGUCUAGUCAGUGGCUACUCAUCAGAAUCACCUGGGGUACUUGUUAAAAAUAUAGAUUCCUAGUCCACUGCCUCAAGAAUCUGAUUGUGUAAGUCUGAGAUAGACCAAGGAAAUCUGUACUUUUGACAAGUACCCUGGGUGCCUCUGAUAAUUAGCCAAGUUUGAGUAACAUUGGGGGCAUCCAAUAAAAAUGAGAAACAAACUAGACUGGUCUGUUUCUUGCUUGAUGACACAUUUCCUCAAACUCAUCCUACUGCUGCCUCUUGUUGAGAAAAAAUUUCCUUCUAAAAUUUCC